rnacentral:rRNA from 1 species
CCUACGGGAGGCAGCAGUAGGGAAUCUUCCACAAUGGACGAAAGUCUGAUGGAGCAACGCCGCGUGAGUGAAGAAGGGUUUCGGCUCGUAAAGCCCUGUUGGUAGUGAAGAAAGAUAGCGGUAGCAACUGGCCUUUAUUUGACGGUACUUACUUAGAAAGUCACGGCUAACUACGUGCCAGCAGCCGCGGUAAUACGUAGGUGGCAAGCGUUGUCCGGAUUUAUUGGGCGUAAAGCGAGUGCAGGCGGUUCAAUAAGUCUGGUGUGAAAGCCUUCGGCUCAACCGGAGAAUUGCAUCAGAAACGGUGGAACUUGAGUGCAGAAGGGGAGAGUGGAACUCCAGGUGUAGCGGUGGAAUGCGUAGAUAUAUGGAAGAACACCAGUGGCGAAGGCGGCUCUCUGGUCUGCAACUGACGCUGAGGCUCGAAAGCAUGGGUAGCGAACAGGAUUAGAUACCCGAGUAGUC